GACGAACGCUGGCGGCGUGCCUAAUACAUGCAAGUAGAACGCUGAAGGAAGGAGCUUGCUCUUUCUGGAUGAGUUGCGAACGGGUGAGUAACGCGUAGGUAACCUGCCUGGUAGCGGGGGAUAACUAUUGGAAACGAUAGCUAAUACCGCAUAAAAUUGAUUAUUGCAUGAUAGUCAAUUAAAAGGUGCAACUGCACCACUACCAGAUGGACCUGCGUUGUAUUAGCUAGUUGGUGGGGUAACGGCUCACCAAGGCGACGAUACAUAGCCGACCUGAGAGGGUGAUCGGCCACACUGGGACUGAGACACGGCCCAGACUCCUACGGGAGGCAGCAGUAGGGAAUCUUCGGCAAUGGACGGAAGUCUGACCGAGCAACGCCGCGUGAGUGAAGAAGGUUUUCGGAUCGUAAAGCUCUGUUGUAGGAGAAGAACGAGUGUGAGAGUGGAAAGUUCACACUGUGACGGUAUCUUACCAGAAAGGGACGGCUAACUACGUG
rnacentral:rRNA from 1 species